AAUGAGUGAGUAUACCAACUAGAACCGCAAUUGGA
rnacentral:sRNA from 1 species